AGAACGACGCCUUGCACCCUACCUGCAGGGCUCAUCUUCAAGCAUCAGUGCUAGCGAGUACGUUUUUCAACGUCACGUGUCUCUGUUGUGUUACCUGUAAAGCAGGUUGCUCAACUGGCUUAAAUUUGUCGCCAUUUGUGCUUGAUCACUUACGAACUGGGUGUCUUUGUCAUCAAUCAAUCAGAAUUGUCUAAUCAGGAUUUCAUAGGAGCUCCAUGUGACUCUGUCUUUGCCAGGCGCUUUCCGACUGCACGUCGGUUCAUGAUCAGUUUCUGCCGUGCAUUUGAAGUGACGGUUCUCAAACGUUCUAAUAAUAGCCCACACACAUACUGUGCCAGUUCUGCUAAACUAUGGAGUCAAAACGGGAAGAAUUUCGAAAGUACCUCGAAAAGGGGGGUGCCUUACAGGCGCUAAGCUGCGCGUUAUCUCAUCUGUAUGAGAUGCCGGAAAAGCCUUCAGACCCUUUGCUCUUCAUUCAGGAACGCCUAAAGCAGUGCGUAGAAGGCGGCAAGUUGAGCGAAGUGCCCCCCGCUCCGCCUACGGAGCCGAUAGAUCAGACGGAAGCGCAGUCAGGAAGUAGAGAUUCGGGCCUCAUCGACAACAGUGUAAAUACCCAGUGAUCUGAAUGGCUUAAUUGAUGGGGAUGGAUCGCUAAUUCACUUGUAUUGUUGGAGCAGAUCGGGUUGACAUUUAGGCCAAGAUGAAGUCCUGCUGCCAUUUUUCAUGCGUGAUCAUUGCAACAAAUGCAAAGUUUACAGACGUACGCAACGUGCUUAGAUCUCUCCUAGACACAGCAACAGAGGUCAAAAAGUUCUAAAUGCUUCAUUCACCAAUCCGUUAUAGGAACUGUAGUAGUUCAGAAAUAAUAACUUCACGUUUUGAAUUACACGGCUUUCUCUGUUGGCCUAUUUAGAUAUGCUAUUUCUCAUUAAACUUCAUAAGGAAAAUAUUCAACGGUUUGCAUAUUUUAGAUAGGUAAGUAAACCGCUGAAUUUCGUAAGGGUAUACAUUUCUUUUUUAUGAAGAAGAUUUAAAAAGUUCUUUUUUUUUGACGAUGAAUACCAUCUUUUCUUCAACUUAGAGAUUAUUUGGAUUAUAUUACCAGCUUUAGAGUUGAAUUCCAUCAUUACUUUAUUAUAUUUAAUAGAAGAGGUACUUGGGGCGAUUAUGUGUUAAGACUAUUGGGCACCAGAAUAUUGGAUGGACGUAUGAAUACACAUGUUUUAAUUACUUUUUUUUUUGUUUUUUAAUUAAUGAGAUAAUUAACAAUUUAUUUAGAAUUAAACUAAUAAUUAAGAUAGAAGUUUAAAAAGGUAAUUAAUCUUUGAAAUUCGUGAAGUAUAUAUAUAUUGUAUAAGAGCCAGAGUCACUUCCAUAUA